rnacentral:rRNA from 1 species
AUACGGAGGGUGCAAGCGUUAUUCGGAAUCACUGGGCGUAAAGGACGCGUAGGCGGGUUGGCAAGUCAGAUGUGAAAUCCUACAGCUUAACUGUAGAACUGCAUUUGAAACUGCUAACCUAGAGUAUGGGAGGGGGAGAUGGAAUUAGUGGUGUAGGGGUAAAAUCCGUAGAUAUCACUAGGAAUACCGAAAGCGAAGGCGAUCUCCUGGAACAUAACUGACGCUAAGGCGUGAAAGCGUGGGGAGCACACAGGAUUAGAUACCCUAGUAGUCC